rnacentral:rRNA from 1 species
CCUACGGGUGGCAGCAGUGAGGAAUCUUCGACAAUGGGCGAGAGCCUGAUCCAGCCAAGUCGCGUGAAGGAUGAAGGACCUCUGGUCUGUAAACUCCUUUUAUAUGGGAAUAAAGUGGGGAACGUGUCUCUUUUCGUAUGUACCAUAUCAAUACGCAUCGGCUAACUCCGCGCCAGCAGCCGCGGUAAGACGGAGGAUGCGUGCGUUAUCCGGAUCUAUUGGGUUUAAAGGGUGCGUAGGUGGUUAAUUAAGUCAGCGGUGAAAGUUUGUGGCUCAACCGUAAAAGUGCCGUUGAAACUGGUAGACUUGAGUGUAGUAGAGGAGGGCGGAAUGCGUGGUGUAGCGGUGAAAUGCGUAGAUAUAACGAAGAACACCAGUGGCGAAAGCAGCUUACUGAUCUAUAACUGACGCUGAGGCACGAAAGCGUGGGUAGCAAACAGGAUUAGAUACCCGAGUAGUC